rnacentral:rRNA from 1 species
UGAUUAUGGCUCAGAUUGAACGCUGGCGGCAUGCCUAACACAUGCAAGUCGAACGGUAACAGGGUGCUUGCACUGCUGACGAGUGKCGAACGGGUGAGUAAUACAUCGGAAUGUACCCAGUAAUGGGGGAUAACGCUUCGAAAGGGGUGCUAAUACCGCAUACGCCCUGAGGGGGAAAGUGGGGGACCGCAAGAGCCUCACGUUAUUGGAGCAGCCGAUGUCUGAUUAGCUAGUUGGUAGGGUAAAGGCCUACCAAGGCAACGAUCAGUAGCGGGUC